rnacentral:rRNA from 1 species
UACGUAGGGCGCAAGCGUUGUCCGGAAUUACUGGGCGUAAAGCGUGCGUAGGUGGUUCGUUAAGUCUGAUGUGAAAGCCCUGGGCUCAACCUGGGAAUGGCAUUGGAAACUGGCGACCUAGAGUGCGGUAGAGGGUAGUGGAAUUCCCGGUGUAGCAGUGAAAUGCGUAGAGAUCGGGAGGAACAUCCGUGGCGAAGGCGACUACCUGGACCAGCACUGACACUGAGGCACGAAAGCGUGGGGAGCAAACAGG